UCAAGUAAUUAAGUGCAUGUGGUGGAUGCCUUGGCAGUCAGAGGCGAUGAAAGACGUGAUAGCCUGCGAAAAGCUCCGGGGAGGCGGCAAAUAUCCUUUGAUCCGGAGAUGUCUGAAUGGGGGAACCCACCUACUUUAAGGUAGGUAUUGCAACAUGAAUACAUAGUGUUGCAAGACGAACGAGGGGAAGUGAAACAUCUCAGUACCCUUAGGAAAAGAAAUCAAUUGAGAUUCCCUCAGUAGCGGCGAGCGAACGGGGAUCAGCCCAUUAAGUUAUGUGUGUUUUAGUGGAACGCUCUGGGAAGUGCGAACGUAGAGGGUGAUAUUCCCGUACACGAAAGGGCACACAUAAUGAUGACGAGUAGGGCGAGGCACGUGAAACCUUGUCUGAAUAUGGGGGGACCAUCCUCCAAGGCUAAAUACUCCUGACUGACCGAUAGUGAACCAGUACCGUGAGGGAAAGGCGAAAAGAACCCCUGUGAGGGGAGUGAAAUAGAUCCUGAAACCGCAUGCAUACAAGCAGUGGGAGCACCUUCGUGGUGUGACUGCGUACCUUUUGUAUAAUGGGUCAGCGACUUAUAUUCAGUAGCGAGGUUAACCGUAUAGGGGAGCCGUAGAGAAAUCGAGUCUUAAUAGGGCGUUUAGUUGCUGGGUAUAGACCCGAAACCAGGCGAUCUAUCCAUGAGCAGGUUGAAGGUUGGGUAACACUAACUGGAGGACCGAACCCACUGUCGUUGAAAAGCCAGGGGAUGACUUGUGGAUAGGGGUGAAAGGCUAAUCAAGCCUGGUGAUAGCUGGUUCUCCCCGAAAGCUAUUUAGGUAGCGCCUCGGACGAAUACCAUAGGGGGUAGAGCACUGUUUCGGCUAGGGGGUCAUCCCGACUUACCAAACCGAUGCAAACUCCGAAUACCUAUGAGUACUAUCCGGGAGACAGACUGCGGGUGCUAACGUCCGUAGUCAAGAGGAAAACAUCCAGACCGCCAGCUAAGGCCCCAAAAUCAUAGUUAAGUGGGAAACGAUGUGGGAAGGCAUAGACAGCUAGGAGGUUGGCUUAGAAGCAGCCACCCUUUAAAGAAAGCGUAAUAGCUCACUAGUCGAGUCGGCCUGCGCGGAAGAUGUAACGGGGCUAAAACUAUGUGCCGAAGCUGCGGAUGUAUACUUUGUAUACGUGGUAGGGGAGCGUUCUGUAAGCCGAUGAAGGUGUGUUGAGAAGCAUGCUGGAGGUAUCAGAAGUGCGAAUGCUGACGUGAGUAACGACAAAACGGGUGAAAAACCCGUUCGCCGAAAGACCAAGGGUUCCAGUCCAACGUUAAUCGGGGCUGGGUGAGUCGACCCCUAAGGCGAGGCCGAAAGGCGUAGUCGAUGGGAAAAUGGUUAAUAUUCCAUUACUUCUGUGUAAUGCGAUGAGAGGACGGAGAAGGCUAAAUCAGCCUGGCGUUGGUUGUCCAGGUGAAAGGAUGUAGGCAUGUAUCUUAGGCAAAUCCGGGGUACUCUAUGCUGAGAUCUGAUAGCAAGCUGUACUUGUACAGCGAAGUGGUUGAUGCCAUGCUUCCAGGAAAAGUCUCUAAGCUUCAGUUACACAGGAAUCGUACCCGAAACCGACACAGGUGGUCAGGUCGAGUAGACCAAGGCGCUUGAGAGAACUCUGCUGAAGGAACUAGGCAAAAUGGUACCGUAACUUCGGGAGAAGGUACGCUGUUGUUGGUGAUGGAACUCGCUUCCUGAGCUGACGACAGCCGCAGAAACCAGGCCGCUGCAACUGUUUAUUAAAAACAUAGCACUCUGCAAACACGAAAGUGGACGUAUAGGGUGUGAUGCCUGCCCGGUGCUGGAAGGUUAAUUGAUGGGGUUAGCGUAAGCGAAGCUCUUGAUCGAAGCCCCAGUAAACGGCGGCCGUAACUAUAACGGUCCUAAGGUAGCGAAAUUCCUUGUCGGGUAAGUUCCGACCUGCACGAAUGGCAUAAUGAUGGCGGCGCUGUCUCCAGCAGAGGCUCAGUGAAAUCGAAAUCGCUGUGAAGAUGCAGUGUACCCGCGGCUAGACGGAAAGACCCCGUGAACCUUUACUGCAGCUUGACACUGAACUUUGACCUUACUUGUGUAGGAUAGGUGGGAGGCUUUGAAGCUGGAACGCUAGUUCCAGUGGAGCCGUCCUUGAAAUACCACCCUGGUAAUGUUGAGGUUCUAACUCUGUCCCGUGAUCCGGGACGAGGACCGUGUCUGGUGGGUAGUUUGACUGGGGCGGUCUCCUCCUAAAGAGUAACGGAGGAGUACGAAGGUGCGCUCAGCGUGGUCGGAAAUCACGCGUAGAGUAUAAAGGCAAAAGCGCGCUUAACUGCGAGACCCACAAGUCGAGCAGGUACGAAAGUAGGUCUUAGUGAUCCGGUGGUUCUGUAUGGAAGGGCCAUCGCUCAACGGAUAAAAGGUACUCUGGGGAUAACAGGCUGAUACCGCCCAAGAGUUCAUAUCGACGGCGGUGUUUGGCACCUCGAUGUCGGCUCAUCUCAUCCUGGGGCUGAAGCAGGUCCCAAGGGUAUGGCUGUUCGCCAUUUAAAGAGGUACGCGAGCUGGGUUUAGAACGUCGUGAGACAGUUCGGUCCCUAUCUACCGUGGGCGCUGGAAAUUUGAGAGGAUCUGCUCCUAGUACGAGAGGACCAGAGUGGACGAACCUCUGGUGUACCGGUUGUGACGCCAGUCGCAUCGCCGGGUAGCUAUGUUCGGAAGGGAUAACCGCUGAAAGCAUCUAAGCGGGAAGCCUACCUCAAGAUAAGAUUUCCCUAGGACUUUAUGUCCUCUAAAGAGCCGUUCGAGACUAGGACGUUGAUAGGUUGGAUGUGGAAGCAUAGUGAUAUGUGAAGCUGACCAAUACUAAUUGCUCGUGAGGCUUGACUAU
rnacentral:rRNA from 1 species